rnacentral:lncRNA from 1 species
GUCUGUUUUCUGUAACGCCGGUUUUAGCCAGAUGGCGGGGAUGUGAGGACUAUCCCGUGGCUGGUGAAGGUCUGGUGAUUGGAACAAGACGACUCACCUCGGAUUGGUGGCUACUGUCUCUGCCGCUUGUGUCUUCUCCAACGUCGGGUUGCGGCUUGGGCGGAUCUCUAUGGUUUGAGUUUUAGCGGCGAGGGCUCUCAUGGUGACGGCUAUGAGGUUGCUUCAGUGGAUGUAGAUUUCAGAGCUCUACCCCCAGUUGUUUGCUCUCCGUUUUUAUAAUCAGAUCUAUGUUAGAUCCGGUGUGGCCCCUUCGCAUCUCAGGUUGUUUGUUUAGUUUUCGACUAUUGUUUGACGGAUUUGGUGA